rnacentral:lncRNA from 1 species
UCAGAAAAAAAAAACAAAGAACAGAGAGAAAUCUAGAAUUCUCUCAGAGCUCCGGUCUAGGGCCAUCACUGCUUGUCCUGGAGCUCUGCCGUGCGUGGUCUUUACACGCCAACGCGCCAUCCUAAGGAUCACCCCGCACGGUGGCUAGGGUUCGAAAAACCUUUCCUUUUCCUCGUCAAUCGUAAGGUAACCUCCCUUUUCUUUUAUUUUCUUUUAUUACAUCUAAAAUCUGUGUGCUCAGGUCAGAAAACAAAUAGGUAAAAAAAAAAAAGAAUGAUUCGAUUACCGUAAGAAAUGAAAAAGAACUACUUUUUAUUCCUUCUGCUUUAAAUGAAUACAACCGCUAGUAAAUCUUUAUCUCUGUGUUUUUUGUAUUGUGUACAUUCUCGUAAAAAAAGGCUCCCUAUUUACAGAUUUUGCGAAAGGCUUUAUAGCCUCAAACUACUGCCUAUUUUGGAAAGAAAUUGGAAGAUUUCUUUCCAUUUCCUAUUCUAGUAUAUCUGCUGCCUUUUUAGUUUGAUUUCUUUCCUUUUCUUGCAGGUACCCUGAAGAUCUCGGUGAUGGAAGGGUUGCUGGCAUUGAUAGAGGCCUAAAGUUUAGUGGUGACAGAGCCGAGAAAUCACGGCGUGCUUGGUGGCGACGAUCGGGCCGUUGAAUCUGUGAGAUGAAAGGUCACGUCGUUUGGAGUGCCCAAAACUUCCAGAAACUCCUUGCGGCGCUGCGUUCUCAAAAAACCCUAGGGUUUUCUUGUCUAUUUUUACCGCUUUGGGCAUUUUGGGCUACUUUAGUCUAGGGUCUGUUAUUUAGGCUUGGGUGUAACCUGGUUUGGUUUAAGUUGGGCUACGGGUGUAUUUUGGGCAUAUGGGUAGUGGGCUAGCUGGGUUUUAGGUAAUAACCGGUAUGGGGUUACGGGUGUAUUUGGGCUACUGGGUUUUAAUUCUUUUGGACUCUGUAUAUGGACUUUUAAUGGACUUUAAAAUAAAUAAAUACUUAUUUAUUUAACCUUUUUUA